rnacentral:sRNA from 1 species
AUCGAAUUCUUCCGCCAGAUCGGCAAGAGAGAAGUCGCGGCCGAGCGCCUUGCCGUGGCUGACCUCGA